AGGGUGGGCGUGGCAUGUUAUGAACUAUGGCUAACUCUUGUUUAUAACAUUUAACAUUCAUAACAUUUAAAGUCAAGUGUUUAGAGCACCAUGCUGGGUAAACAAAACAGAUCUGAGACUGGAUGCUUCCCUCAGCUGGGCAGAUGUGACUGCAGAUGGAGUAAUUGAAGAAAAUUGUGAAUAUUGUAUCAUUCUUAAUUCACCCCUUAUGCUAAGGGAGAUACUUUUCAAACUAUAAUAUACGUCGAAGAGACAGUAAUAGAUUAAAAUGUAGAAUAUUGUGAUUUUUCACUUCAUGGAAAAUAUGCGUGAAGUUUUGAAGUGAAGAUUCUAGAAUUCAAAGCUCUACGAAGGAGGCACAGUCACUAUCCACCUUUGACAGAUGAAGAAGCUGAGAAUUUGAGAAGUUGUUGAAGGUCAUGUAGCAGUGAGGGACAAAACCCAGAUCGAAACCUGGGCUGUCUGUCCCAAGAGUUCAUGCUAUCCUGAUUGUGCAGCCUGCUACAAUAUCAUACUUCAUUUCCUUGGUGCAUGACCCAUCUGUGAUCAGAAAAGCUGAUUUGAAGAACACAACACCCUUCAGUACCCAAAGCUCACUGAUGCUUGUAGUCCCAGCAGUUUUAUAAACAACUUCAUGGUUUAAA